GCCGGGCGUUGUGGCAGGCGCCUAUGGUCCCAGCUACUUGGGAGGCGGAGGCAGGAGACUCGCUUGAGCCCAGGAGUUGGAGGUUGCUGUGAGCUGUAAUGCCAUGGCACUCUACCCAGGGGGACAGCUUGAGGCUCUGUCUCAAAAAAAAAAAAAAAAAAAAAAAAAAAAGUUUAUAACUAGUAAAGUUAUUAAUGGUUUUUUUUUUUUUUUUUUGAGACAGGAGCCUCAAGCUGUCCCUCUGGGCAGAGUGCCGUGGCAUCUCAGCUCACAGCAACCUCCAACUCCUGGGCUCAAGCGAGUCUCCUGCCUCUA
rnacentral:SRP_RNA from 1 species